GCCGAGGUGGUGAAAUUGGUAGACGCGCCGGACUCAAAAUCCGGUGGGAGCAAUCCCGUGGGGGUUCGAGUCCCCCCCUCGGCA
rnacentral:tRNA from 1 species